GUCAAAAAAGUGUCGCCAAAAACAUGGCGGAUUUUGACGCCAUAUGACGCCAUUUCCAUGGCAACUGGUCCGAAAACCUCAUGGUAGUUACCACUGACCAGGCUCAAUUCUGAGCCCACGGCAGUUUUCACACCCCCCUGUUUUUUUGCAAAAGAUUUGGUUUUUGCAGAUAAAUAUUUAUAGUUCUCGUUGUUUUAAAUCUUUUGUGUAAAUUUUGAGAUAUAUCUACUACCUUUGACCAUUUGGUUAAAGAUAUGCAAGUCGUACGUGUUAUUCUCGCCCGCAAAAGCCAAACAAAACCUCGAGAAAUGUGGGAAAAGAAUAUUAAAGACGAUACAUGUACUUGAAUCGGGAUUUUUUAAUAAUAUAAAAG